CACGCACCGAGCGAACGGUGUUCGGAAUCACUGGGCUUAAAGGGCGCGUAGGCGGGCGUCCAAGUCAGGGGUGAAAUCUUUCGGCCUAACCGGAAAAGUGCCGCUGAUACUGGACAUCUCGAGGGAGGUAGGGGCGUGUGGAACUUCCGGUGGGGCGGUGAAAUGCGUAGAUAUCGGAAGGAACGCCGGUGGCGAAAGCGACGCGCUGGACCUCUUCUGACGCUGAGGAGCGAAAGCCAGGGGAGCAAACGGG
rnacentral:rRNA from 1 species